UCUGUGAAUAUCUAGUAGUGUGGGUGGUUCCCAGGGGUCCAGUAAGGACCAGACUGGCUAUGUAUAGGUCAAGGGCAGGAACUGCAAUAGCUGCUGCAGGCUGCUCUACUCCAGUGCAGAUUUCCAUUCACAAGUGCUGGGAGGAAGUGAUCUGAGAUCCCUUGACUACUUUUUACACUAGCAGAUAUCUGAAGUUCAACUGGGACUCCUAAUAGGCCAGAGCCUGUGUG